rnacentral:misc_RNA from 1 species
GAUGAAGAACGUAGCGAAAUGCGAUAAGUAAUGUGAAUUGCAGAAUUCAGUGAAUCAUCGAAUCUUUGAACGCACAUUGCGCCCGCCAGUAUUCUGGCGGGCAUGCCUGUUCGAGCGUCAUUUCAACCAUCAAGCCCCCGGCUUGUGUUGGGGACCUGCGGCUGCCGCAGGCCCUGAAAAGCAGUGGCGGGCUCGCUGUCACACCGGGCGUAGUAGCAUACAUCUCGCUCUGGGCGUGCUGCGGGUUCCGGCCGUUAAACCACCUUCAUAACCCAAGGUUGACCUCGGAUCAGGUAGGAAGACCCGCUGAACUUAAGCAUAUCAAUAAGCGGAGGA